CCAGAGAACUUUCCAGAGAUGGAUUGGUGCCUUCGGGAACUCUGAGACAGGUGCUGCAUGGCUGUCGUCAGCUCGUGUUGUGAAAUGUUGGGUUAAGUCCCGCAACGAGCGCAACCCUUAUCCUUUGUUGCCAGCGGUUAGGCCGGGAACUCAAAGGAGACUGCCAGUGAUAAACUGGAGGAAGGUGGGGAUGACGUCAAGUCAUCAUGGCCCUUACGAGUAGGGCUACACACGUGCUACAAUGGCGCAUACAAAGAGAAGCGACCUCGCGAGAGCAAGCGGACCUCAUAAAGUGCGUCGUAGUCCGGAUUGGAGUCUGCAACUCGACUCCAUGAAGUCGGAAUCGCUAGUAAUCGUGGAUCAGAAUGCCACGGUGAAUACGUUCCCGGGCCUUGUACACACCGCCCGUCACACCAUGGGAGUGGGUUGCAAAAGAAGUAGGUAGCUUAACCUUCGGGAGGGCGCUUACCACUUUGUGAUUCAUGACUGGGGUGAAGUCGUAACAAGGUAGGCGUAGUGCU
rnacentral:rRNA from 1 species